UGAUUAGUACUCAUAUGUUGCACACAAAACAAAAUAAAACACAUUCAAUCCAACUAUAAAACAUCUAACGAACAAAAAUCCCAUUUAGUACCUGCUUGAUAGAGUUAGUGACAGUCGUCGAAAUGAGUAAUCCGAAGUUUUCAAUUGCGUUAUUUCAAUGUCCCGGUUGCAGCGACUAUCUAUCACGACCAAUAUUUCAAUGUCCAUCUGGUCACAGUUUAUGCUUAAUUUGUCUAAACAAACUGAAAGUAUGCCCAACCUGUUCCACAUCAAUUACAAACUCCACCACUCGCAACUUUUCACUAGAGGAUAUUAUUGAUACCUUGAGCCUCACAUGUAUUAACGCACCAUGCACCGACAAGAUGCCAAUGAAAGACUACAAAAAGCACUUGUUGCAAUGCCCACAUGCACCAGUACAAUGUACGUUUCACAACUGCACUUGGAAAGACAGUAUGGAUCUACUGAUCGAGCAUGUGACACAUAAACACGGCGCACAUUUAAUCAACAACAACGACGUAUUAAAACCACAUCAAAAGAUAUCAACAGGUGUCUUUCUAAAGCACGAUAGUUGUGUGUUUAUCAUCAGGAGAGUCUUAACAGUAAAAAAUGAAUUCUUGUCUUGGUCAGCUGAGCUAAUAUCAGUGAGUACACCAAUCAAAAAAUAUGUUGCUACCAUUCGGAUUGUUACCGCAGAUGGAAAUGUUCACGUUUUACGACAGCCCUGCAGCGUUCAAUCAGCGAAUGUUAAGAAUGAACCGAUACAGCCGCUGUUUUAUAUGUUAAAAUCUAGUAUUAAAGGAUGCACUGUUCAAAUUUCAAUCAGUGAAACAAAUGCACUUAUGUAAUCAAUGAGUAAUAAACGUAUGCGUUAUUA